AAUUGUAUAAUUAAAUGGUAUAAUAGGACACUUUUAAUGUCUCUUUCUUGGUUCAAUUCCAAGUACAAUCA